AGACGCAACAGCCAAACACCCGGCGUUCUCUGUUCCUCAGCCCACUCUAGGUGCCUCUCCUCCCACGUGGUGCAAAUCAGCCUCUGAACAACCUGCAGGGUCCCAGCACCUUCAGGAUGAAGCCAGAGCCCCUAACAACAGGCCAGAUGGGAGGGAAGGGAGGUUCAGAGAGGAGAGGCAGAGCCUUAGGAAGGUGAAAACAAGAGCAAGAGGCCUGCCGUCCCUCCCCACGCCCAGCUGGGCCUUCUCAUUCCCUUUCUGCAUGCUUGAAAUGACCUGUGACGCCUGUCUCAUCAUUGAUGGAUUUCCUCUCCUUGGAGCUGCCUGUGAGCUCCAGGAGGACCAGGACUGCAUCUGACCAGCUCUCUAGCCACCUCUCAGCCCAAUGCCCAGCAUGGAGGACAUUUCCCCCCUGAAGACAGAGUCUUAACUGGAAACAGGCCAGGCCAAAGCUUGCCUGAAUUUUCUGCAUCUGAGCGUCUGGGUGGGCAGCAGACAGCUGACGGGCUGGAAUUCCAGACGGGGAAGCCAGAGGAGCUGCUUUCUCAGCAACAGGAGGAAACAAGCUGCAGCAGCCUUCACCCAGCCCUGUCCCCACCUGUCCCCAGCCCCCAGAGGUACCAUAGGCCUUCACGGGGCCACGCCCAGGCCAGCUCUGCAGAAACACGCACCCAGCGUCCAUCUCUCUGCCCCCACCCCAGGCUCACUCUCUCUUCAACCCCUGGGCCUUCUGUCUCUGUCUCUCUGUUGCUCUGUCUCUUUCUCUGUUUCUCUGUCUCUCUCUCCACCCCCCCUCCCCCAAGUUGUGUGUGUAUCUGUGUGUGUGUGUGUGUGUCUCCCCAACCCCGCCCCUCUCUCCCUCCCCCUCUCUCUCUGCAGGGAUCUCUGGCUUUUUGUGUGUACCUCUCACUCUCUCUCUCUCUCUCCCUCCCUCUCUCUAGUUGUGUAUUUGUGUGUGUCUCCCCUCCCAUCCAUCUCCCUCCUUCUCUCUCUCUCUGCACAGACCUGGCUCUCUGUCUGGCCUGUCAUUCUGUCCCUGUACUUCUCCAUGUCCAUGUCUCUGGGCGUGUCAUUCCUCCAUCUCACUGUGACUUGGAGGGCUCUGCGUGGAUGUAGUCUGUCAUUGUCUCUCUUGAUCUGUCCUUCUCUACAUGUCUCUGAAUUUCUGUGUGAGCCAUUCUCUCCCUCAUUCAUCCUCUUCCGCCCUGAGAUAGUGUCAAGAGUGGACGUCCCACAACAGAAAGGUCUGGGGACCAUAUGUGGCCUUCUCUUCCCCACCACAGGGAAAGCAGGGGACCUAGUUCCGGCCUCGAACCUCCCUGGUAGGUAACCAGCUCCCGGGGCGCUGCCCACUACGGGACAGUCAGAUGUUAGAAAGGAGGAAAGUGUGAAGUCAGGCGGCCAAUGUGCUGUGAAUAAAGGAGGACAGAGCAUGAUGUUGGGUGCAGAGUGGCCCGGAGGCUCCACUCUGACGUUGAGCAGAGACCUGGAUGCGCAAGCGUCGGUCCAUGCGGGUAUCUGGGAAGGCGAACAGCACGUGCCCAGGCCCCGGGGUCGCAUUUCCUGGACAUGCCGCGCCCAGAACAAGGUGCCGGCCCCGGGGUCGCAUUUCCAGGACAUGCCGCACCCAGAACAAGGCGCCGGCCCCGGGGUGGCAUUUCCUGGACAUGCCGCGCACAGAACAAGCCGCUGGCCCCGGGGUCGCAUUUCCUGGACAUGCCGCGCACAGAACAGGGCACUGCCCCUCCCUGGCUGCACUGCCCAUGGCCGCUGUCCUCUGGGGACCUGGAACUGGCCGAAACCAUGAAGCCAGGUUUUAACCUCGGCUGUCCUGGCCAACCUGGUGUGUGAGGAGUGCCCUUCCCUGACGGCCGGGUGACAGGACAGGGCGCCCUCCUGGAGUAAGUCAGCUCGGAGGACACCACACGGACAAGGCUGCCCACAGCUGGGGAGGGCAGGGCGCUCACCCCGAAUCGGGGGCCGGCGCAGGACUCUCCAGUUCAGGACCCACCCGGACACUCAGCGGAGGGAGCCUCAGCCCCGCCGGCCGCUCCACCCGACGGGAAGGGAAGGCGUUUGCAUCCACAUCGGUUUCAAUCUGGGACUGCCGAGGCAGCAAUGCCGAAACCCGCGCAGGUCAAAACCCACUUCACAAGACAUCGCCACACUUUCUCCAAUCAUCGAGUCCAUUCUAACGAGGCAAAUAAACAUGGCAUUUAAAGAUCAGAGGCAGCACAGUUACAGUCUAUUAAAUUAAAUUCACCGUCAAGGGUGAGAGAGAAGACAGAGUGGGAUUAUUCUACUCAUGGCAAUUAGAAGAAAGAAAGGGGUAUUUUGAGAGAGAUGUAAUUUCGUGCCCCUGAAGCAGCUGCCUGUGGAGCUUGUGAUUUGGACAGCUGGGGCAAAGGGGCCACCCCCAACCCCCUAUGUCAGGGCCCCUCCUGAGACAGGAGCCAGAGCCUAUCCUCAGUGGGUCCCCAAGCCCCAGAACACAGCCCCGGUGGGCGGUGGAGGCUGAACCACCCCAGCCUUCUCUCCAGAGCCCAGAUGGGGCAUAGCCUGGCAGCAGAAUGGCUUCCCCUCAACACCAGCUCCUUCCAUCCCACUCUACGUGGCCUUCCUCGCCCCACAAGGCCCCUUCUUCCUGGUGGUUCACCCCAGCCCCCUGUGGGCUGUGCACUUCCCAUCUGGAAAAUGGGGAUGAUGGAGGCCCCAGCGUCGACCGCAGAGUCCUCCCGUGAGUGGCGAGUGCGGGUGAGUAUGGACAUGGAAAUGUCUCAUGGGCAACACAUGCGUCCUGGCUGUGCCGUCAUCCCCCUGCUGCCCCCAGCCCAUUCUGUGCUCCGGCCUGCUGAGCACUUACAAGUGGCCCCUAUGACUGCCUGGCCCAGGACUCCCACCGGACUCCACAAUGGGAGGCUCCAGCAGGGGGAAGAGAGGCUGUGGGUAUCCCUCCCUUUCUCCCUCUCCAUCCCCUCUGUGGCCCACACUGAUUCUAGUUCCUGCUAGGUGGCCCUGGCCCCCAGGCUGCAGGGACCUCACCAUCUCCCUUUGUCCCCUUGCUCUGGGGGGGCAGCGAAUGCUCCCAGCUCUAAUGUGGGCUGCCUCACCGCCCUGGGCAGCCCCAGGGUCUCUUCCGCCACGUGUAACUGACUCUGUUCUAUGUACAGAAGCAGGUACUGAUCUCCUGUUUGAGCCCUGAAAUUUGCUGUCUGCACUCAGAUGAAUGGUUACCCACGAAAGGUCGCCGUGCCGAGGCAGCGUGACCCUGUGGCCCCAGUCUCCGCGAGGUUCACAGUGUGGCUGCAUCUCCCGAGCCACCCUUGUCCCCAGGGAAAGCAGCUUGCAGCCGGGCCCCCUCCAGAACUUCUGCUCACUCCCUCCAGAUUUUAGCCUUCCCUUUUUUGGUCUAUUUUAUUUUCUUUCCACAGUAUUCUUUGCUCCUAUUUAUCAAUAUUGAGUUUAAUUUCAGUCCUCUGGGCCUCUUCUCUGAGCACUGAUGCGUGCUACAGCCAUUUUUAAAAAUGCAACAAAAAUAGAUCUGUGGCUUUAUUUCUGGUUAUAUAAUCAAACGCAUGCACUGUAAAAGCUUGAGUAAUGAAUAAACAUAGAAGAAAAAUAA